AUAUAUAUAUAUAUAUAUAUAUAUAUAUAACUGCUGUGUCAAAUGCAAAAAUCUGAAAGAGGGAAAAUGUAGCUGAGUGUCUGAGUAUCCAUUUGUUUCCCUUUGGGGUGAGCACUAGUGUUGGAAUAACUGUCAGAAUGCGUGUUUAUUUUGUUUUUAAAUCGGUCUCCACCUGAACAUUCAAAUAUCACAGAGGUCUAAAAAAUGAGCUCACUUCGGAGGUUAUAUUUCUUAAUAGCGUUGCCAUUUGUCUGAUUAAUAACAAGCAAAAGAAUAAAUAACAAGAAUAAUCACAAAUAACCUGUAUUACAACAGUGCCCCUUCUAAUGUUUUCAAGUGGCAUAAGAUUGUGCGUGACUCAACAACGCUGAGUCACACACAUUCAGGAUGAAGCUCACAAACAAUCCAAUUCCCCCAAUCCGAUGGCUGGUCUCCCUGCUGGCUGAAUGCACCGUAUCAGAGACGCUCUCUGAAUACUGAGCAGCGGGAAUCACGAGGGAACUUAACUGAACACGAGCCAACACAUAAACGGCGAGGCCCGCUAAAAGGAUUUUUAGAUUUAAGACCCUGCGAUGCAUCGCGUCCGCUGGCACGCUUCAGACGUGUCUCUGAGCUGAUGAAAAACUUUCAUUUCACUACAUCGAAGCUAAACUAAAUAUGUCCACAGUGUGUCAUUAACAGGCUCAACCUGCACUCCCGACAACGUGGUGCAGACGUGCAAAACAUCGGCACACAACAGGUGAUUCGUAACAUAUCCAGCAAUAACAAACCCAAAUAAUCGAUAGGUUUCCCGCCAUUGACACAACAAGUUCUAAUCAAAUUGGAUAUACUGAUGAAGAUACAGCACAAAGGUUAAACCCUUUUUAUAAUUCAUCAGUUAUAUUUUGAUGAUAUGAAGCCACAUGUUCAUUUCUCAGCUUUUUGAAAAGGUCAAUCAAUAUUCCUUCAGUAGAAGUGCAAACAGCUCAUCUACGACAGAUGAAGCUGCUGAAGUGAGAAAAUACAAACAAGCUUAUUAGUGAGACUCAAAGUGGCUGAUUAAAACAAUUGUUGUUCCUUUCAUUUUUAGAAAAUUUUCAUUAAUAUUAAUAUAUUAUUACAUUAUUCCACAAAAUAUAAAGCAAAACAAACGGUCCGCUGCCUCUGUAUCCUGAAGCUGAUGUCCAGGGGGCUUUCUCUCCCACCUUUUUAAUUACAACAUAUACACAACCAAGCACAGCACCCCCCGUUUGGUGUAUUAAUAGGUCUCUCUUUUAUUAUUUAAGGGUAAAUUUGCAGCCGGGCGCUUGACAUUGUGACGGGUUAUUUUUCUUCUUCUCCUUUCGACUCGAACAUCGGUUCGCUCUCCCCCAAAUCACAUCGCUGACCUUUUCUCACAGUGGCAUCCAAAGACCAGUCAGCCAAACAUGCCUCCGGCCAAAUCAAUAACUCCUCCCAGCCAUCAGCAGCUUGGAAGACCUCUCGCCUCCUUCACUCCAGCUGUUUAAUCCCAGUUGGGGGGAAACAGUUCUCUCAUUACAAUUUAAUCCUCAGACUGUCCCUUGUUCCGGUGGAGUUCAAAUAAAUGAAUGCAGUCUUACAGCUCUGAUUCACGAGUACAGCGUCCCGCUGCUUCCAUGGGACGCCGUAAUUAUUCACUCUGAUUCUCCCCGAUAGAUUCCCCCCACUCCCGGGGUCUCAUAAGCAGUGCUCCCUCAUGCGGAAUCACCAAGAAGUAAAAGGCUCAGACUGCCCCCCCCCCGAGCUAAUGGGAUUGAUCCCUAAACAUCCUUCGAUUUAAUAAUGGCGGUAUUGCGCUGUGAAAACGGAAAUGUGAGACUUCGUAAAGGAUGUAGCUAGCAGACCAAUCGCAGCACGGCUUGCGUAGCUUUUUGCCGCUAGUCUAGAAAAUGGUUCGACGCACGCAAGGAGGUGUGAAAAGGCACGCAAGGGACACGCAAGGGACGCGCAAGGGACACGCAAGGGACACGCAAGGGACACGCAAGGGACACGCAAGGGACGCGCAAGGGACACGCAAGGGACGCGCAAGGGGCUCUUGCGUCUGCGUGUCCUUGUGUCUCUGUCUGUCUGAAAACGCAGAAGCAUCAACUAGGCUUAUGAAUUAUUUUAACCAAUUGCUUUGUUGCAAAGUGUGAUUAGUCUCGAGUUGUACGUAGCCGGGUGAAGUUGGGGCGGGGGGGGUUUUCGUGCUGCUAGAUGGUCCGCACACAGGGUGAGCGCGUACUGUCACUUUACGUACAUUUGGCACGAGUUCACGUGGGAUUUGGAGCUGCAGAGCGGGACCUGGCGGCUACCGGCGACAACACAGUGUUAGCGGUUAGCAUCGGAACAGCGCUAGGGAAACGCCUGUUCAGCGGGUCAGCGUAGGUGUUAGUAAACCUGACUCACCAUGUCUAUUUCGUUUAGAGGGGAGUAACAAGCUGCCGGGGGGUUGAGGUUGCACGGAGCCGUCAACUGACCACAACUGGUUGUAUUUUCCAUUCCGAUGUCUCGGAGACCACUCGACUCUGGAAUGGAAUGGAAUCUUCAAGGCCAAGUUCCAUACAAAUUAGAUUAAUCUGUUCAUUGUGAUUCUGACCACAGAACUGAGCACUGCGGAUUUUUUUUGUGAGAGAAUUCAUCAGCGACGUUUGUCCUCAACAAGACUUAAGUAGCCUUUUGAAAGAUAUAUCACCAUUCUUCAAAGACCACAUCGAGUCGUUAACCGGCAAACAAACAAACAGCCUUUUUCAAGGCUUCCAGCCUAUUUACAGGGAUCCCACCAGCCUUUUUAAAGAUACCAUCAUUCUUUUUAAAGACUACACAAGUGUUAUUUAACAUGUACCGUGGAAACAACCAGAGAAUUGGAGCUGGCGCUUCACUUCUCGGGACUCCCACCGGAUACAAGGUGAACACUUUCUCGUGCCAAGAAUGAAGUGCACUAUAAAGGAAAGUGAGCGAACUCACCGCUCACACUGAAACUGUGAAGUACAGUUUGACCAACCUGUUAAAAGGCAAAGAUCUUUCCUAUGAGCAGAAGGUUGACAAGAACAGAAAGAAGUUUUCAGACCUCAUCAGGGAGAACAAGGGUUUGUCUCUGAAGCUCACAGAGACCACCGAAAAAUGCUGAGAGCUGAUUCUCUGGCUGCUUUAAAAAAGAGCCAAGAGGAUACCCACCACGAGAUGGUCACGAGCAGUGGUUUCACUGAGUUGUGCCUGAUCCAACAAACGGAGGAUACCGGCGCCAAAGAACAUCAGAUCCUUAUCACCAGGAUCCAAGAAUUAAAGGACGACAAAGAGUCCUUGAAAACAUCUGCCUCGACUUUAAAAAAAAAGAAGAAAAAGAGGCAUUUUUGGGAGACGGAUGCAAGAACCGGCAGACGGAGAUGGACAAAAUGAGGCGCAAGAUGCAGGACAAGGAGGCAAAGAAAUAGGAGAGAGAAGAGAAGAAAAAGGAGAUAAUCCAGGACGUCAACAUCAACGUGCCUGAGACUGGACACCUGUAAGAACACCUUCCUUCACCUCCCACUCCAUCGUACCUCAUCCUUCUACCCUAAAAAAAAGAAUAAAAAAAACGCUAAAAAAAAAAGAUCCCUGCUUUAAAACCUAACUCACAACUGGUCUGGUAUAUAUGUGGCACGACUGGACAAUGGACCUGAACCCAAUUCC
ensembl:lncRNA